rnacentral:rRNA from 1 species
GACGAACGCUGGCGGCGUGCCUAACACAUGCAAGUUGAGCGACGAACCAGGGCUUGCCCUGGGGCAAAGCAGCGAACGGGUGAGUAACACGUGGGUAACCUACCCCGAUAACCGGGACAACCCGAGGAAACUCGGGCUAAUACCGGAUGUGCUCACUGGACUUCGGUUCAGUGCGUAAAGGAAGCUUCGGCCUCCGUAUCGGGAGGGGCCCGCGGCCCAUUAGUUUGUUGGUGAGGUAACGGCUCACCAAGACCGCGAUGGGUAGCUGGUCUCAGAGGACGAUCAGCCACACUGGGACUGAGACACGGCCCAGACUCCUACGGGAGGCAGCAGUGGGGAAUCUUGCGCAAUGCGCGAAAGCGUGACGCAGCAACGCCGCGUGGGGGAAGAAGGCCUUCGGGUUGUAAACCCCUUUCAGGAGGGACGAAGGUUCGGCGGUGAAUAGCCGUCCGGACUGACGGUACCUCCACAAGAAGCCCCGGCUAACUACGUG